ACUGCCUCUUGAGGCAGUCGAUAGUGCCGGGUGCUAAGGAGCUUGACUAAGAACUGCAGUAUUCCUGACAUCUGAAGAACAUAGUACUCUAAGUAAGGCAGACUUGUCUGGCCUGAAGCUUUAUUCUCAGGAUUAGCUGACCAGAUCAGAUGUAGAGAUGACUACUAAGGCCAUUGCCCAUGGACAACAAACCAAGAUAUGUCAUCUUCCACUCUUGUGCUUAAGUAUUAACAGAAGCAAAUCAAGAAAAAGAGAACGUGUUGAGAUUGUUUGAAUCAAAGUGAUAAUCAUAUUGAUUUGGUGUGAUGAAAAUCAAAUUGGAAGAGGCUAGAAAUCCUAGACACAUAGAGCCCUAAAAAUAUGAUAUGGCAAAUGAACCAUGACUGAUAAACUUAGCCUCAUUUCGUUCUUAUAGAUUUUCUGCAGCUGGAGAACACAAGGGAGUGAGUUCAUCUCUGGCAAAGAAGAACCAAGCUCACUCUUAAAGGUGCUUUACAUGGUGAAUAAUGAUUUAAAAACCAGACACUGCCUUUUUUUAGUAGCUGGGACAUUGGAAGCAGAGAUUAAGCACAGGGCGAUGAGCUGGGUGGAGAGGAUAUAUCUUUCUUGAAUAGUAAUUCAGAUUUAUAUUCCCUUUGUUAGCAUUCAGGUUUGACCUCCACCAAGCUCUGUGUAAUAAAGUAGUAGGACAACAUAAGGAAAUGUCCUUUCUGGCACCAGUAUAAUAUAGAGGCCUCGUGACCUUUCCCUUCAAACCAACUUGGUCAUGAAACUGGAAAGCAUGAGAAGUUGUUCUCAUCUGAAAGUGACUCCUAUUUUGGAAUAGGUAUGGAUGUAUAUGGAAUCUAGGCAUGCUGGUUUUUAUUCAGUCCUCAGUCAGAUGUGUUUCAGAUGCAAUCACUCUAGCAUUUUAUUCUCUCUGUUUAACCCUUCCCUUCCUGCUCAUCUAUCUAGGGAAGGGGUGCUAUUUUUUUUAAUCCCCAAACAUAUGAGGUUUUAUUUUUAUGGGCUCUUGUUUCUCUAGAUUAGUAUCAGUUAUAGAAAAUGUCAAACCUAUUGGAGUUCCUGGAGGUGGCAGGGGAGUUCUAAGUCUCACAAAUGUCACCUGCACUGUUAUCUCAGCUUCUGUUCUCCAUUGCGUGCCAACAGUAUUCUAUGUUACUGUCACUCAGACUUAAUCUUCAUUUCGACAUUGUCUCUCCUUAGUGAUGCUGUGGAGAUGGGAGAGAAGAUGAGGAUCUUCUGAAAUGUUAUCUGCUUUCUCUGUGUAGGAAAUGGCAGUUUUUGGAGUUUUGCUGAUUUUCAGGCAUUUCAUGUUCUAGAGAUUAUGCAAAAGGGAAAACACAGGUAUCCUGUACCAUUGCUACCCACCAUAUCUAUCAGAAACUCAAAGCAACGAGUGUCCUUAAUCUUAGACUGGAGCAUCAAGAGCUGUGAAGUCUCAUCUUGUCCAUCUCUCAUUUUGCUUCCUGACUUCUGUAAGGUGAGCAGACCUCCUUCAUCACAGGUGCAUUCCAUGUAAACUCUACUGCCAUACGUGCAAAACAAUGAGCCAAACAAUCAUGGACUGAAACCUCUGAGUCUAUUAGCCAAAGUAAAUUUUUUCAUAUCAUAGCUUGCUUAUCUCAAGUUGUCUUUUACAGUGACAUAAAAGAAAGGGGUUGAUCACAAUUUCCAAGUUUUUUUUUUCCAGAUGCUCACACGAAUGUGCUCUUAAGCAUGUAUGAUUUUUAUGCCAGUGAAGUCACAUCUGCAGAGCUCCAUCUUGU